AUGCCACCACCGGCGCCGGACCGGAAGAGGCGACCACCCAUGGAGCAACCCGAGGCAGGAGACGGCGCCCCGCAGCAGCGCCACAAGAAAUCCUCCGCCGCCAAGAAGGCGAAGAAGGGCGGCGCCACCGGCAGCGGCAGCGGCGGGGCAUGGCCGGCGGUAAAGCCCAAGAAGGACCUCCUGGUCAAUCGCCUCAAGGGCACCCAGCUCCUCACCGUCCCUGACUUCCUCACUUCCGCUGAGGCGAAGGCUUUCGUCGAUGUCGCUGAAUCCAUGGGCUUCACGCACCAGGGCAGCCUUGGGCCACUCAAGGGGGAGGCUUACAGAGACAAUGACCGGAUAUCUGUCACGGACCCCUUGCUCGCUCAAACGCUCUGGGAAUCAGGGAUUAACAGGGUAUUCAUGGACAUCAACAUCUCCGGCAAAGUGGCAACUGGCUUGAACCCAAAUAUCAGACUUUACAGGUACGUUGAAGGUCAGCGCUUCGGCAGGCAUAUCGAUGAGAGCGUCAACCUUGGGGACGGUUCUAGGACGCAGUAUACAUUGCUGGUAUACCUUUCUGGCAAGGGAAGCGCGAAAGAUUCGCAGGCUCUUGUUGGAGGGGAGACUGUCUUUUAUGAUCACCGAGGAGGAAUCGUUGCUGAGGUUGCUCCCGUGCAAGGAAUGGCUCUACUCCAUCUACAUGGCGCCAGGUGCAUGCUGCAUGAAGCUCGCGUCGUGAAAAAGAACGUCAAGUACGUGCUCCGUUCAGACGUCGUGUUUGCUUAG
rnacentral:rRNA from 1 species